UCCGGUGUGGUCUAGUGGCUAGGAUACCUGGCUUUCACCCCAGGAGGCCCGGGUUCGAUUCCCGGUACCGGAA